rnacentral:misc_RNA from 1 species
ACCUGAGAUAGUAGAUUUUGUGCAGUGCCCACACAGAUUGUCUGAUGAAAGAAGAAAUGAGCAGCGUCUGCGAAGAAGACUCGAUGUCCCCUUCGUCUAGAGGCCUAGGACACCGCCCUUUCACGGCGGUAACAGGGGUUCGAAUCCCCUAGGGGACGCCAUAUUGCUCGAGGUGCUGGGUGAAAGGCGGUGCCGCACAGUAUUGUUAAGCGUGGCUUGCGAGUCAGUUUAGCAAUAUUUGCUCUUUAACAAUCUGGAACAAGCUGAAAAUUUGAAACAAUCAGUAUGGUCAUUCAUGACGAUAUUGAUGAGUCUCUCAACACACUCCGACCUGAAGACACCUUCGGGUUGUGA